UGGGGAAUAUUGGACAAUGGGCGCAAGCCUGAUCCAGCAAUGCCGCGUGUGUGAAGAAGGCCUUCGGGUUGUAAAGCACUUUUAUCAGGAGCGAAACGCUGUCGGCUAAUACCCGGCGGAACUGACGGUACCUGAGGAAUAAGCACCGGCUAACUUCGUGCCAGCAGCCGCGGUAAUACGAAGGGUGCAAGCGUUAAUCGGAAUUACUGGGCGUAAAGCGUGCGUAGGCGGUUUCUUAAGUCUGCUGUGAAAAUCCCCGGGCUCAACCUGGGAAUGGCAGUGGAUACUGGGAGGCUAGAGUGUGUCAGAGGGUGGUGGAAUUCCCGGUGUAGCGGUGAAAUGCGUAGAGAUCGGGAGGAACAUCAGUGGCGAAGGCGGCCACCUGGGACAACACUGACGCUGAGGCACGAAAAGCGUGGGGAGCAAACAGGAUUAGAUACCCUGGUAGUCCACGCCCUAAAACGAUGCGAACUGGAUGUUGGUCUCAACUCGGAGAUCAGUGUCGAAGCUAACGCGUUAAGUUCGCCGCCUGGGGAGUACGGUCGCAAGACU
rnacentral:rRNA from 1 species